CUACGGGGGGCUGCAGUGAGGAAUAUUGCACAAUGGAGUAAACUCUUAUGCCUCCACUCCUCGUGGAGGAUGACGCAUUUCGGUGUGUAAACUCCUUUUAUAUGUCAAGAAAAUGACGGUAGCAUAUGAAUAAGCACCGGCUAACUCCGUGCCAGCAGCCGCGGUAAUACGGAGGGUGCAAGCGUUACUCGGAAUUACUGGGCGUAAAGGACGCGUAGGCGGGAUAUCAAGUCAGGUGUGAAAUCCUACAGCUUAACUGUAGAACUGCACUUGAAACUGGUAACCUAGAGUAUGGGAGGGGGAGAUGGAAUUAGUGGUGUAGGGGUAAAAUCCGUAGAUAUCACUAGGAAUACCUAAAGCGAAGGCGAUCUCCUGGAACAUAACUGACGCUAAGGCGUGAAAGCGUGGGGAGCAAACAGGAUUAGAUACCCGAGUAGUC
rnacentral:rRNA from 1 species